AGGACGAACGCUGGCGGCGUGCUUAACACAUGCAAGUCGAGCGGAAAGGCCCUUCGGGGUACUCGAGCGGCGAACGGGUGAGUAACACGUGAGCAACCUGCCCCUAGCUUCGGGAUAGCUCCGGGAAACCGGAAUUAAUACCGAAUAUGAUUUUUGCUGACAUCAGCAGAAGUGGAAAGUUUUUCGGCUAGGGAUGGACUCGCGGCCUAUCAGCUAGUUGGUGAGGUGACGGCCCACCAAGGCGACG
rnacentral:rRNA from 1 species